CAGGGGCGGACGCAUGUUGUGGCGAGUGGGGGCCCAGGACCCCGCUCGAUUCAUCGUCCUCUUCGUACUACGUCCCGAUGCUAGCGAGCAGGCCCCCGGUCGGGCUAUAGCAGGCUGAAGGCGUGCGUCUACCCUGCUGCCGCCUGCCGCUUCGACUCUGGGAGCUCACAAUUAAUAGCGAGAAAAACGAAGAGGCGAGCCCUCGGCCGCCGCUUGGUUGGACCAUUGGUGGAUCGCGGCUUGGCGGGUGCCAGUCCUGUGCCAUCCGGUCGCCGGCCACCGGCGGCGCCACCGUCGACGGGUGUACAGCAGCAACGGAUGAACAGAGCAUCCUCAGCAACUCAUCUCUAAUCAGGGAAGAAAAGGGAAGAUAAUGGAGAAGUAUUUGAUAAAGAAAUCAGCAAAUGCCAACACCACCACCCAGCCCCGGGGGGCUAUCACCAGCAACAAUUCAAGUGGCAGUAGUAAUGCAUCAAGACCUGCAGCAAAACAUAAUUCUGUUGUGCCUGAACUAGUUGAUUUGAAUAAGCUCCCUCGGGAUCCAGCUAAAAGGAAGCGAAUGGCAGAUUACCACCCAACCAACGUGACGAGAUAAGAAGG